rnacentral:rRNA from 1 species
CCUACGGGAGGCAGCAGUGGGGGAUAUUGGACAAUGGGCGGAACCCUGAUCCAGCGACGCCGCGUGAGUGAAGAAGGAUUUCGGUAUGUAAAGCUCUUUUAGCAGGGCAGAAAGAAGUGACGGUACCUGACCAAGAAGCCUCGGCUAACUACGUGCCAGCAGCCGCGGUAAUACGUAGGGGGCAAGCGUUAUCCGGAAUUACUGGGUGUAAAGGGAGCUUAGACGGUAAAGUAAGUCUGGUGUGAAAGGCCGGGGGCCAACCCCGGGACUGCUCUGGAAACUAUAGAUCUUGAGUGCGGGAGAGGUAGGCGGAAUUCCUAGUGUAGCGGUGAAAUGCGUAGAUAUUAGGAGGAACACCAGUGGCGAAGGCGGCUUACUGGACUGUAACUGACGUUGAGGCACGAAAGCGUGGGGAGCAAACAGGAUUAGAUACCCCAGUAGUC